GUAACAUAUGAGUAACACAUGAGUAACACGGCUAAUGUGUGAGUAAUGUGUGGGUAUCACAUGAGUAAACGCAUGAGUAACAUUUGUGUUAUGUGUGAGUAACGUGUGUGUGUGUGUGAUGACUGUGGCUUGGUGAAAGAGACCGUGGGCCAGUACCAGUGCAGCUGUGCUGUAUGUGCUCCCUGCAGGGCUGUCUGAGCCCACGGGGCUGUGCUUUCCUGGCUACUACUGCACUGGAGGAGCCACUCAUCCCAAACCGACAGAUGGACUCACAGGCAACAUCUGCCCACCUGGAACGUACUGUGGCGUCGGCGCGGGGGAGCCUGCGCUGUGCCCUCCAGGAACUUUCUCCAGCGUGGCCGGCCUGCCCGGGGAGAGGAACUGCCAGCUGUGCCAAGAGGGCUUCUACUGCGAGGAGGCAGGCCUGGAGGCUCCUAGUGGCCCUUGCACUGAGGGGUACUGGUGUCCCCCUGGACAAACAGCGAGGACAGCUCUGCCCUGUCCCACAGGCCAUUACUGUCCAGAGGGCAGUCCUGCUCCUGUUGUCUGCCCCUCUGGUCACUACCAGCCCCUGGAGAAGCAGGCCACAUGUGAACCCUGUGAACCAGGUUAUUACUGUGAUGGGAGAGAUGCCCUCUUGA
rnacentral:lncRNA from 1 species